GUCACGAUAGAAUGGUUUCUAUCCGGACCACGAAUCCGGAAAGCGCUGGUUCGAUCCCAGCUCGUGAGA
rnacentral:tRNA from 1 species